rnacentral:lncRNA from 1 species
AUAGAAAAAGUGAUCCUGAAUGUAAGCCGACUUCAGAAAUUCAUGAGUUGACUCCAUUAGACAAGUUGACCCCACUAAAAUAUGAGUCAACUCUAUAAUCAUCCCAGGACAGAAGACAGAGAGUGGUAAAGAUUUGAUCAUAACAAGAGCCAACUCUAGAAAUUCUUGAGCCAACUCUAGUGGAACUCGAGUUGACCCCAGA